rnacentral:rRNA from 1 species
AAUCAACGCUGGCGGCGCGCUUAACACAUGCAAGUCGAACGAGAAAGCCCGCAAGGGUGAGUACAGUGGCGUACGGGUGAGUAACACGUGGGUGAUCUACCUCCGGGUGGGGAAUAACCCUGGGAAACCGGGGCUAAUACCGCAUACGCCGGAAACGGGAAAGGAGAAAUCCGCCGGGAGAGGAGCCCGCGGCCGAUUAGCUAGUUGGUAGGGUAAAAGCCUACCGAGGCGACGAUCGGUAGCCGGCCUGAGAGGGCACACGGCCACACUGGCACUGAAACACGGGCCAGACUCCUACGGGAGGCAGCAGUGGGGAAUCUUGCACAAUGGGGGAAACCCUGGUGCAGCGACGCCGCGUGAGCGAUGAAGCCCUUCGGGGUGUAAAGCUCUUUCGACCGGAACGAUAAUGACGGUACCGGGAGAAGAAGCUGCGGCUAACUACGUGCCAGCAGCCGCGGUAAUACGUAGGCAGCGAGCGUUGUUCGGAGUUACUGGGCGUAAAGCGUGCGUAGGCGGUUUCCUAAGUUUGGUGUG